rnacentral:rRNA from 1 species
CCUACGGGCGGCAGCAGUGAGGAAUAUUGGUCAAUGGACGCAAGCCUGAACCAGCCAUGCCGCGUGCAGGAAGACGGCUCUAUGAGUUGUAAACUGCUUUUGUACGGGGGUAAACGAAGAUACGCGUAUCUGUCUGAAAGUAUCGUACGAAUAAGGAUCGGCUAACUCCGUGCCAGCAGCCGCGGUAAUACGGAGGAUUCAAGCGUUAUCCGGAUUGAUUGGGUUUAAAGGGUGCGUAGGCGGUCGGUUAAGUUAGAGGUGAAAUCCCGAGGCUCAACUUCGGAAUUGCCUCUGAUACUGGUCGGCUAGAGAGUAGUGGAGGCAGGCGGAAUGUAUGGUGUAGCGGUGAAAUGCUUAGAGAU